rnacentral:lncRNA from 1 species
AUAUAUAGACUUACGUAAUACAUAGGUAUGUGUGGACUUGUUUCCAGAUUGAGACUCUUGAGAUUGUGCUUCUUGAGUACUUUGCAUGGGUAGGAAUGUUUGUCAUAGUUUGGAAAGUGUUGUUCGGCAACAUACGUCUUAGAUAGAGUAUGGUUGCGGGGAUGAAAGAAUAAAAGAAAAGGAACUAUUAAAGUGUUCAGUUGUUGCCUUGUCGAAUUUGAUGUUAUAUUUUGAAUCUAAAUAUAAUCGUCGAUAUUAUUUUAAAUAAUCAUAUAUUAUAUGAACCGUGAUAGUUAAUUU